GUUAUUUGUACUGAUUUUCAUAGGUUUUUGGGUAUUCCAUCUCUAAUCAAUAACUCAUGCAAAUAAAAUAAAAAAUAUUAUGUUAGAGCUAUUAACCGUACUUAAUCAGUAACAUAUAUAUAUGACAUCAUUCUACGAUGUUAAGUCGUAAUCUACAGUAACCUUACCUUACAGUGGGAGCAGACUUUGGAGUUUUGUGGGUGAUUGGUUGGGCUAUAACUGUACAAUUUUUGCUGUAGAGAUUUUGCUGUAGUUAUGUUGGCUGUAACUAUAACUUUUAUUGCUGUAGAAUUAUUGCUGUAAAUUUUUGACUUUAAAUAAUUUAUUAGAAAAUGGAUUAGUAAAAUAUAAUAGUUGUAAUAAAAAAUUUUAUAUAGUAAAUAAAAUGCCUUAUAUUACUAAUUUAAAUAAAUAUAUUAUGAUGAUAUAA
rnacentral:sRNA from 1 species